CCUACGGGAGGCAGCAGUGGGGAAUAUUGGGCAAUGGAGGAAACUCUGACCCAGCGACGCCGCGUGAGGGAUGAAGGCCUUCGGGUUGUAAACCUCUUUCAGUAGGGAAGAAGCGAAAGUGACGGUACCUACAGAAGAAGCACCGGCUAACUAUGUGCCAGCAGCCGCGGUAAUACAUAGGGUGCAAGCGUUGUCCGGAAUUAUUGGGCGUAAAGAGCUCGUAGGUGGUUCGAUACGUCGGAUGUGAAAAUCAGGGGCUCAACCCCUGACCUGCAUCCGAUACGGUCGAGCUAGAGUUUGGUAGGGGAGACUGGAAUUCCUGGUGUAGCGGUGGAAUGCGCAGAUAUCAGGAGGAACACCGAUGGCGAAGGCAGGUCUCUGGGCCAAUACUGACACUGAGGAGCGAAAGCGUGGGGAGCGAACAGGAUUAGAUACCCUGGUAGUCCACGCUGUAAACGGUGGGCGCUAGUUGUGCGAACCUUCCACGGUUUGUGCGACGCNGCUACGACAUAGCGCCCGCCGUCGGGAGGACGAGUCGCGAGAGUUAAACUUAAAGUAGUAGUUAGAGUGUUGAGAGNGCGACGACGACGACGAGGAGGAGG
rnacentral:rRNA from 1 species